GCAAGUCGAACGGGAUUAUCUAGCUUGCUAGAUAUGAGAGUGGCGCACGGGUGAGUAACGCGUAGGAAUCUACCCUGAAGUGGGGGAUAACAGUUGGAAACGACUGCUAAUACCGCAUAAUCUCUAAGGAGGAAAGCCUUAGUGCUUUAGGAUGAGCCUGCGUUAGAUUAGUUAGUUGGUGGGGUAAUGGCCUACCAAGGCAUCGAUCUAUAGCUGGUCUGAGAGGAUAGUC
rnacentral:rRNA from 1 species